AUGACAGAACCUGAAAGAAAUCAGUUUGUAUCACUGUGGUACACGUUCGGUGGAGGAACCAGACUGGAUGUUGGCAGUGAUGCCCGUCCCACCCUGAGCGUGCUGCCCCCCUCCAGCGAGGAGCUGCAGCGGGGGAAGGCCACGCUCAUGUGCCUGGCCAACAAGGGCUUCCCCUCAGACUGGAAUCUGGCCUGGAAGGUGGACGGCAGAGGCAGAAGCAGCAGCAGCAGCUGGGAGGAGAGCAGCAGCCCCGGGGUGCUGGACAAGGACGGCCGCUACAGCUGGAGCAGCACCCUGACGCUCACUGCAGACCAGUGGAGCAAGGUGGGCUCUGUGACCUGUGAGGCCACCCAGGGCUCCCAGACUCUGGUCUCAGAGACGCUGAGGAGAGACCAGUGUUCCCAGUCCUGACCCGACUCCCUGGGAACACUGCUACUGGUUUUACUCUGCUACUGCUCCCCCCCUGCUCUCUGUAACACUGUCUCUCUCUCUUUUAUUUGACUUGUUUCAGUAGCAGUAUUUACGAGCUUGUCGAGCGUUUCAAUAAUGUUUCUGUUUUUCUAGAUAA